AUUGAACGCUGGCGGCAUGCCUUACACAUGCAAGUCGAACGGCAGCGCGGGGCAACCUGGCGGCGAGUGGCGAACGGGUGAGUAAUAUAUCGGAACAUGCCCAGAAGUGGGGUAUAACGUAGCGAAAGUUACGCUAAUACCGCAUACGAUCUACGGAUGAAAGUGGGGGACCGCAAGGCCUCAUGCUUUUGGAGUGGCCGAUAUCUGAUUAGCUAGUUGGUGGGGUAAAGGCCUACCAAGGCGACGAUCAGUAGCUGGUCUGAGAGGACGACCAGCCACACUGGAACUGAGACACGGUCCAGACUCCUACGGGAGGCAGCAGUGGGGAAUUUUGGACAAUGGGGGGCAACCCUGAUCCAGCAAUGCCGCGUGUGUGAAGAAGGCCUCGG
rnacentral:rRNA from 1 species